rnacentral:rRNA from 1 species
AAGCGGGAGCGACUUAGCGGCGGACGGGUGAGUAACGCGUGGGUAACCUGCCCCAUACCGGGGGAUAACGGUUAGAAAUGACCGCUAAUACCGCUUAAGCGCACGAGGCCGCAUGGCCGCGCGCGAAAAACUCCGGUGGUAUGGGAUGGGCCCGCGUCUGAUUAGCUAGUUGGCGGGGUAAAGGCCCACCAAGGCGACGAUCAGUAGCCGACCUGAGAGGGUGGCCGGCCACAUUGGGACUGAGACACGGCCCAAACUCCUACGGGAGGCAGCAG